CGCUGGCGGCGUGCCUAACACAUGCAAGUCGAACGGAGAGUUCAUUGAGGAGACUUCGGUCAACGAGAUGAAUUCUUAGUGGCGGACGGGUGAGUAACGCGUGAGCAAUCUGCCUUUCAGAGGGGGAUAACAUUCUGAAAAGAAUGCUAAUACCGCAUAACGUAUUGAGAUGGCAUCUUCUUGAUACCAAAGGAGCAAUCCGCUGAAAGAUGAGCUCGCGUCUGAUUAGAUAGUUGGUGGGGUAACGGCCUACCAAGUCGACGAUCAGUAGCCGGACUGAGAGGUUGAACGGCCACAUUGGGACUGAGAUACGGUCCAGACUCCUACGGGAGGCAGCAGUGGGGAAUAUUGGGCAAUGGGCGCAAGCCUGACCUAGCGACGCCGCGUGAGUGAAGACGGUCUUCGGAUUGUAAAACUCUGUUGACAGGGACGAUAAUGACGGUACCUGUCGAGGAAGUCACGACUAACUACGUG
rnacentral:rRNA from 1 species